GUGGGGAAUCUUGCGCAAUGGGGGGAACCCUGACGCAGCGACGCCGCGUGCGGGACGGAGGCCUUCGGGUCGUAAACCGCUUUCAGCAGGGAAGAGUCAAGACUGUACCUGCAGAAGAAGCCCCGGCUAACUACGUGCCAGCAGCCGCGGUAAUACGUAGGGGGCGAGCGUUAUCCGGAUUCAUUGGGCGUAAAGCGCGCGUAGGCGGCCCGGCAGGCCGGGGGUCGAAGCGGGGGGCUCAACCCCCCGAAGCCCCCGGAACCUCCGCGGCUUGGGUCCGGUAGGGGAGGGUGGAACACCCGGUGUAGCGGUGGAAUGCGCAGAUAUCGGGUGGAACACCGGUGGCGAAGGCGGCCCUCUGGGCCGAGACCGACGCUGAGGCGCGAAAGCUGGGGGAGCGAACAGG
rnacentral:rRNA from 2 species